rnacentral:misc_RNA from 1 species
CACUUCUGGUCAGGGCGGGAGUCGGAGAGCGCGCCCGGCGCAGCAGCGAGACGUGUGUCUGUGGAUUUCGGGCUGCGAUGGCGAGUAGGGAGCUAUGUCUCCUACUUGUGCUGGAAGCCGUUUCGCGCGCUCAUUCUCUGUAACUGGAGGAGGAGGGGUGGCCUUUAGGGUUCGCCUUGAUCGGAGGGGUCCGGUUCCCGCGCUCCCGCCCGGGCCGCAUAAUCUCGCCCAGCACCUUUUCUUCCUUCUUGGUUAUGGCUUGACGAACCCUUAAGGACUCGUCGGCCAACGUUGUGGCACAUUCCUGAAAAGGACGAGGACCCUUUACCCGAGGGGAGUAAAGACAGUACUUGGAAGAUGACGGGUCUAGUCAUCCUUGCACAAGGAAAGCCUUCUGCGCGCUUUGGCGUCUGUACAUGUUGGGACUCCUCAGGCACUGAAAUACUGAAGUCCAGCUCAUUCUCAGUCUCUUGAAAACUGUGUUCACUGUUGGACAGUACUGGCACAGAGUGAAGCCAGACUUCCCGUCCUGCCAGCCUCACCCCUUCAGCAGCCGGUACGAGCAACAGCAGGGCGGUUACCCUCCUGGCUACAGCUCUGGCCGAGGGGCGGGUGGAAAUGGACCCAACCUUUAUUCUGCAUGUGAGACCUCUGGACACCCCUCUGAGACUUCGCUUCCACCCAAGGAAACCACGUCUCUAGCUGAAAACCAAGUUGAAGAUUCACUAGAAGAUCCAAAUCUCCACUUGAAUAUUGAGGAACUCAACAAAGAAUUUAUGGUGAAAAGUGAAGAGCUCUACCAAUCUCUCAUGAAUAGCCACUGGCAGCCUCUCGAUACGGUAUACUCAGAAAUCCCAGACAAGACCCCCCAAGAGCAAGAUGCUGAUUAAGCUACCAAUUAUCAUAUUCAUUGUGUCUUAUUUUGUUUUUGUUUAAAAAGUUCUCGCAGAAAGGCACUGGAUUGUGUGUAUAAAUACAGAUUCUUGAGGGAGUGUCAUGUAAAUAAACGUUGCCAGCACGUUCA